AGUCUGCUCACACACUUCUGUCUGUUUGCCAGUGGUCACAGGUGGGCCUCUCCACCUGGUGUUCUGUGCAGGUGUCUGCUCUGUGACUUCCUGCCGUGACCCCACUGUAAUCUGGACGUGUGAGCCAAAGGAAACCCUUUGUCCCUGGGAAGGAAGGAGGGACAAAUAAGCUCAUGUUUAACAAAAGGGAAGAAAAAUAAAAACCCUAAAUAUUCAAGAAUAAGGAUGUAAAGAUGCUGCACAGAAGACC